GAUGAACGCUGGCGGCGUGCCUAAUACAUGCAAGUCGAGCGAACGGACGAGAAGCUUGCUUCUCUGAUGUUAGCGGCGGACGGGUGAGUAACACGUGGAUAACCUACCUAUAAGACUGGGAUAACUUCGGGAAACCGGAGCUAAUACCGGAUAAUAUUUUGAACCGCAUGGUUCAAAAGUGAAAGACGGUCUUGCUGUCACUUAUAGAUGGAUCCGCGCUGCAUUAGCUAGUUGGUAAGGUAACGGCUUACCAAGGCAACGAUGCAUAGCCGACCUGAGAGGGUGAUCGGCCACACUGGAACUGAGACACGGUCCAGACUCCUACGGGAGGCAGCAGUAGGGAAUCUUCCGCAAUGGGCGAAAGCCUGACGGAGCAACGCCGCGUGAGUGAUGAAGGUCUUCGGAUCGUAAAACUCUGUUAUUAGGGAAGAACAUAUGUGUAAGUAACUGUGCACAUCUUGACGGUACCUAAUCAGAAAGCCACGGCUAACUACGUGCCAGCAGCCGCGGUAAUACGUAGGUGGCAAGCGUUAUCCGGAAUUAUUGGGCGUAAAGCGCGCGUAGGCGGUUUUUUAAGUCUGAUGUGAAAGCCCACGACUCAACCGUGGAGGGUCAUUGGAAACUGGAAAACUUGAGUGCAGAAGAGGAAAGUGGAAUUCCAUGUGUAGCGGUGAAAUGCGCAGAGAUAUGGAGGAACACCAGUGGCGAAGGCGACUUUCUGGUCUGUAACUGACGCUGAUGUGCGAAAGCGUGGGGAUCAAACAGGAUUAGAUACCCUGGUAGUCCACGCCGUAAACGAUGAGUGCUAAGUGUUAGGGGGUUUCCGCCCCUUAGUGCUGCAGCUAACGCAUUAAGCACUCCGCCUGGGGAGUACGACCGCAAGGUUGAAACUCAAAGGAAUUGACGGGGACCCGCACAAGCGGUGGAGCAUGUGGUUUAAUUCGAAGCAACGCGAAGAACCUUACCAAAUCUUGACAUCCUUUGACAACUCUAGAGAUAGAGCUUUCCCCUUCGGGGGACAAAGUGACAGGUGGUGCAUGGUUGUCGUCAGCUCGUGUCGUGCGAUGUUGGGUUAAGUCCCGCAACGAGCGCAACCCUUAAGCUUAGUUGCCAUCAUUAAGUUGGGCACUCUAAGUUGACUGCCGGUGACAAACCGGAGGAAGGUGGGGAUGACGUCAAAUCAUCAUGCCCCUUAUGAUUUGGGCUACACACGUGCUACAAUGGACAAUACAAAGGGCAGCGAAACCGCGAGGUCAAGCAAAUCCCAUAAAGUUGUUCUCAGUUCGGAUUGUAGUCUGCAACUCGACUACAUGAAGCUGGAAUCGCUAGUAAUCGUAGAUCAGCAUGCUAUGGUGAAUACGUUCCCGGGUCU
rnacentral:rRNA from 1 species